UUUGAAGGUGGGUCCACUCUUUUGUGGAUAA
rnacentral:piRNA from 1 species